GGGGAUUUGGCUCAGUGGUAGAGCGCUUGCCUAGCAAGCGCAAGGUCCUGGGUUCGAUCCCCAGCUCCG
rnacentral:tRNA from 1 species